UGUGUUGUGGCUCAGUGGUAGAACACUUGCCUAGCAUGUAUGAGGUACUGAGUUCAAUUCUCAGCAUCACAU
rfam:Ictidomys tridecemlineatus contig061801, whole genome shotgun sequence.